GAAAGUCGUGUGCAAUGAAAAAUGCAAGCACGAUUUGGGGAGAGGUUUUUUAAUCCUUGGUUUAACUGAAUAAGUAAAGAAAAUUGCCCUUUUUUGAAAUAGACAACUCGCACAUACUCCCU
rfam:Dichanthelium oligosanthes cultivar Kellogg 1175 unplaced genomic scaffold Do_version_2_scaffold3850, whole genome shotgun sequence.